CUGCAACCAUGCUUCAUUCAAAGUGCCACCUGAUCGAAACCAGCGAGGAUUGUGAGACUGGGAGGAUUUAAACGCAGUGUUUUGCUUUUUAUUCCUUUUCUCCCUCAUGGACGUCCGUGUGACGGUCGUCCGCACACAUGAAUGCAAAGGGGGGCGGUUUGACCUCAGGAAGCCAAAGACGGUGAUCAGAUAUAACAGUGUGGUGUGGACAAAAUGUCACUCUUCACUGUCAGGGUCCCAGUGGUGUAAAUAUCACCCUGUUAGAGUGGAGCAUACCUGAGAUUAAGUCAGACGGAUACGUCUUCUUCUACCGAAACCGGCGCUCAUACGAAAGCUACCAGCAUGAGCGUUUUAAAGGCCGAGUGGAGCUGGCAGACCCGUCUAUGGAAAACGGAGACGUUUCUGUGAUUCUGAAGAACGUCAGCGUCAACGAUACAGGAACAUAUGAGUGUCGGAUUAUAACCAGCGAUCUCAGCAGCGGUCAGAGAAUCCAGCGUGAGACCAGGCAGUCCAUCAACCUCACAGUCACAGACUCUGGAAGCGAGGAUGAACAGGACGAGAAGACAUUUCUUUUAGCUAUAGGUAUUUUUGCUGUUGUUUUUGUAAGUCUUCUUGUUAUUCUUAGUGUUGCUUUAUGUAUCCACAGAAAAAAGAAAUCAUCAGAACACAGGGAACAUGAACAUUAUGAACGUCCACCUGAAAAAGAGCUGAUCUGAAAUGUAUCAGACGACGUGUAAAACAUUAUUUUCUGACCCUGUUAGCGAGCAGACAGCACAAACAAAGGUUGUGUUGACAGCGCUCCCCUCACAGCAACAAGGCUUCGAUGCACCGCUCCUCUGAUCUCAAGUCACAUUCGGGAGUCAUGUUCUCCCAUCAAUCAUUAAAAGCAACAUUAGGUCAAUGCUGUGGCUGCAACAAGCUUUAUAAUGACUGUUUCCGUUUCUUUUCCCUUUUUUCUUUUAAGCUGUAACUUUAUUCUGUGCAGUUUUCUGCAGAGCUUGAUUUUACCGUGAGAACAGCAGGUGAGCGUAGUGGAGCUUUUAGCAGGUAGAGAGGUGGAGGAGACAGACGUAGAGUAAAUCAGUUCAGACAGUGCAUUAAAACGGGGCCACAGUAGCAUGGUUAGCAGGUUCUCACAGCUAAUUAAGCACUUUAUUAAGUUCUUUAAGCUUUUAUUUUGCACCUUAAAACACUUUAUUUUACUUGCUGCUAUUUGUGGCAACUGCAGCCAAUCAGCAACUUCCUUCUUACUGCACAUUGCCUCCAUUAGAUCAAAAUAAUUCACCAAACACAAGUCAGGUAAUGUAAUAUGUGAUUAUAGUAUAACCAUAAUAUUUAUUUUAAACCUACAAAUGAUUAUAUGGUUUUAUUGCGUUAUUAUAUGAGUUGUGCAACGUUCUGAGUUGGAUCUGUAAAUAUCAGAAACCUUAUUUAAACUCAGCUGAUCUCACGUUCAGAUCUCCAUCUCGGGCAUCAUGUCCACUUAAAUUUGUUCCUCUGCACAAGUUGCAAGGUUGAUGUUUCCAUUGACUUUCAUUUUCAGGAGUUCACUCGAACAUUAACCUGGUGAAUAGGAAGGAUUUUAAUUCUGAAGACUUUUUAACACACUGUGAGUCAGUUGGUGCUUUCAGCCCCUGACAGUUCAGCUCGUUUCCUGUCCUGAUGCCUCAGGAUCUCACCCUUUCUCCUGAUCGGCGCCCUCGCCUGUUGUGCUGCCUUCAGGCAUUGAAACUCAUCAGAAAACUGCUCAGUCGUGAAGUUCAGGUUAGUUUUAAAUACAAUUUGUUUGCUGUUUGUCGUUUGAGGUCUGUGGCGAUGCUGCAGAGGUCAGAGGGGGACUUCCUCUGAGAUCUAAAAGCAGCAGCAGCUCUGAAAACAGUCCAGAGGUUUCUGAUUAUUAUCGAUCUCUUCUCAGAACUUAUUUAUAGUCUUUAUUUAUCUGAUGCACUCAGUGUGUUAAUAUUUCACUCUUUGUUUUCAGUUUUGUUAGUCCCCACUGAUCUUUAGUUUGUCAGUUCAAAUGUUGUGGAUUCUCACUGAUAUCCAGUCUGACUCUGACAGAGUGAUAAGCAAAGUUCAUUGUAAAUAUCCACUGUCAAAAAAAAGAAUAAAUCGACAUUUGAAGCUCAAAAGGGACAGUGCAAUGUGUAAAAGCAAAGUGGAAGAAGAUGGACGGGCGUUCAAAAUUAAAACCGAGCAGGAUGAGCGGUCAUAUCAGGAGUCAGCAGGAGGAACGAGGUAUGAAACCCAUGGAGAGAAAUGAGGCCUCCCUCCAUGUUUAGCUGUUAUUUUAUAUUUUGUGUCCAAGCCAAGUGGAUCUGUUGGCUCAAAUUAGUAAAUAAUACACAGAAAACACGUGGUCAUAUGUAUGCAUGUGCACAUGUUCAUUUCUCAGUAUCAUUUUUAUAUUGAAACGUUGUUUUUUGUGACAUUUGUAUUAUAUUCUUUUGUCUUCUGUUCAUUUAAAUUAACUGUAAGUGUUGUGCAGUUGGCUGGACUGUUGAUCUGAACUCAUCGUAGAAAUAAAGUGAGAGCCUCACAUCACAACUAA